GUGAGUCAUCGAAUCUUUGAACGCACAUUGCGCCCAUUAGUAUUCUAGUGGGCAUGCCUGUUCGAGCGUCAUUUCAACCCUUAAGCCUAGCUUAGUGUUGGGAAUCUACUUCUCUUAGGAGUUGUAGUUCCUGAAAUACAACGGCGGAUUUGUAGUAUCCUCUGAGCGUAGUAAUUUUUUUCUCGCUUUUGUUAGGUGCUAUAACUCCCAGCCGCUAAACCCCCAAUUUUUUGUGGUUGACCUCGGAUCAGGUAGGAAUACCCGCUGAACUUAAGCAUAUCAAUAAGCGGAGGA
rnacentral:misc_RNA from 1 species